rnacentral:snoRNA from 1 species
GUCUGGGGGAUGACCAAACAUGACCUUCACCUGACAAUAUCUGAGCACAAUCUGUGCUGACAACAUUCCAAGGUCCUGACAGAC